GCGGACGGGUUAGUAACGCGUGGGAACAUACCCUUUACUACGGAAUAGCCUCGGGAAACUGAGAGUAAUACCGUAUGUGCCCUUCGGGGGAAAGAUUUAUCGGUAAAGGAUUGGCCCGCGUUAGAUUAGAUAGUUGGUGGGGUAAUGGCCUACCAAGUCUACGAUCUAUAGCUGGUUUUAGAGGAUGAUCAGCAACACUGGGACUGAGACACGGCCCAGACUCCUACGGGAGGCAGCAGUGGGGAAUCUUAGACAAUGGGCGCAAGCCUGAUCUAGCCAUGCCGCGUGUGUGAUGAAGGCCUUAGGGUCGUAAAGCACUUUCGCCAGGGAUGAUAAUGACAGUACCUGGUAAAGAAACCCCGGCUAACUCCGUGCCAGCAGCCGCGGUAAUACGGAGGGGGUUAGCGUUGUUCGGAAUUACUGGGCGUAAAGCGUACGUAGGCGGAUCAGAAAGUAAGGGGUGAAAUCCCAGGGCUCAACCCUGGAACUGCCUCUUAAACUCCUGGUCUUGAGUUCGAGAGAGGUGAGUGGAAUUCCGAGUGUAGAGGUGAAAUUCGUAGAUAUUCGGAGGAACACCAGUGGCGAAGGCGGCUCACUGGCUCGAUACUGACGCUGAGGUACGAAAGUGUGGGGAGCAAACAGGAUUAGAUACCCUGGUAGUCCACACCGUAAACGAUGAAUGCCAGUCGUCGGGCAGUAUACUGUUCGGUGACACACCUAACGGAUUAAGCAUUCCGCCUGGGGAGUACGG
rnacentral:rRNA from 1 species